GCAUUAAUGGGGUAGUGGUAACCUGGGUCGUUGCCAUCGAUGUGUGAUUGUCAUGCUCGACCCGCCGGGGGUUCGAUUCCCCCUUAAUGCA